rnacentral:rRNA from 1 species
GAAUAUUGCACAAUGGGCGCAAGCCUGAUGCAGCCAUGCCGCGUGUAUGAAGAAGGCCUUCGGGUUGUAAAGUACUUUCAGCGGGGAGGAAGGGAGUAAAGUUAAUACCUUUGCUCAUUGACGUUACCCGCAGAAGAAGCACCGGCUAACUCCGUGCCAGCAGCCGCGGUAAUACGGAGGGUGCAAGCGUUAAUCGGAAUUACUGGGCGUAAAGCGCACGCAGGCGGUUUGUUAAGUCAGAUGUGAAAUCCCCGGGCUCAACCUGGGAACUGCAUUUGAUACUGGCAAGCUUGAGUCUCGUAGAGGGGGGUAGAAUUCCAGGUGUAGCGGUGAAAUGCGUAGAGAUCUGGAGGAAUACCGGUGGCGAAGGCGGCCCCCUGGACCAAGACUGACGCUCAUGUCGCGGAAAGCGUGGGGAGCAAA